rnacentral:rRNA from 1 species
CUGGUUGAUCCUGCCAGUAGUCAUAUGCUUGUCUCAAAGAUUAAGCCAUGCAUGUCUAAGCACAUGCCUUAAUACGGUGAAGCCGCGAAUAGCUCAUUACAACAGCCACCGUUUACUAGAAUAUAGUUAUCCUACUUGGAUAACUGUGGCAAUUCUAGAGCUAAUACAUGCAAAAAAGCUCCGCCCGCAAGGAACGAGCGCAUUUAUUAGAAUAAAAACCAAUCGGGUUUCGGCCCGUAAUUUGGUGAAUCUGAGUAACUUUGCCAAUCGCACAGUCCUAGUACUGGCGAUGUAUCUUUCAAGUGUCUGCCUUAUCAACUUUCGAUGGUAGGUUAUACGCCUACCAUGGUAGUAACGGGUAACGGAGAAUAAGGGUUCGACUCCGGAGAGGGAGCCUGAGAAACGGCUACCACAUCCAAGGAAGGCAGCAGGCGCGCAAAUUACCCACUUCCAGAACGGAGAGGUAGUGACGAAAAAUAACGAGACAGUCCUCUUCGAGGUCUGUCAUCGGAAUGGGUACAAUUUAAAUCCUUUAACGAGGAUCUAUCGGAGGGCAAGUCUGGU